UGGCGCAAUGGUAGCGCCUCUGACUCCAGAUCAGAAGGUUGCGUUUUCAAAUCACGU
rfam:Nematostella vectensis strain CH2 x CH6 NEMVEscaffold_251_Cont20866, whole genome shotgun sequence.